rnacentral:rRNA from 1 species
CGGACGGGUGAGUAACGCGUGGAAAACCUGCCGUAUACUGGGGGAUAACACUUAGAAAUAGGUGCUAAUACCGGCAUAAGCGCACAGCUUCGCAUGAAGCGGUGUGAAAAACUUCUGGUGGUAUACGAUGGUUCCGCGUCUGAUUAGCUAGUUGGUGGGGUAAUGGCCUACCAAGGCAACGAUCAGUAGCCGGCCUGGAGAGGGUGAACGGCCACCAUUGGGACUGAGACACGGCCCAAACUCCUACGGGAGGCAGCAG